rnacentral:rRNA from 1 species
UACGAAGGGGGCUAGCGUUGUUCGGAAUUACUGGGCGUAAAGCGUGCGCAGGCGGCUUCUCAAGUCAGGGGUGAAAGCCCAGAGCUCAACUCUGGAAUUGCCUUUGAGACUGAGUGGCUUGAGUACGAGAGAGGUGAGUGGAAUUCCCAGUGUAGAGGUGAAAUUCGUAGAUAUUGGGAAGAACACCAGUGGCGAAGGCGACUUACUGGACACAUAUUGACGCUGAGGUGCGAAAGCGUGGGGAGCAAACAGG